GACGAACGCUGGCGGCGUGCUUAACACAUGCAAGUCGAACGGAAAGGCCCUGCUUUUGUGGGGUGCUCGAGUGGCGAACGGGUGAGUAACACGUGAGUAACCUGCCCUUGACUUUGCGAUAACUUCAGGAAACUGGGGCUAAUACCGGAUAGGAGCUCCUGCUGCAUGGUGGGGGUUGGAAAGUUUCGUCGGUUGGGGAUGGACUCGCGGCUUAUCAGCUUGUUUGUGGGGUAGUGGCUUACCAAGGCUUUGACGGGUAGCCGGCCUGAGUGGGUAACCGGCCACAUUGGGACUGAGAUACGGCCCAGACUCCUACGGGAGGCAGCAGUGGAGAAUAUUGCACAAUGGGCGGAAGCCAGAUGCAGCAACGCCGCGUGCGGGAUGACGGCCUUCGGGUUGUAAACCGCUUUCGCCUGUGACGAAGCGUGAGUGACGGUAAUGAGUAAAGAAGCACCGGCUAACUACGUG
rnacentral:rRNA from 1 species